rnacentral:rRNA from 1 species
UACAGAGGGGGCAAGCGUUAUUCGGAAUUAUUGGGCGUAAAGGGCGCGUAGGCGGCUUGGCAAGUGGAUGGUGAAAUCCCUCGGCUUAACCGAGGAACUGCCGUCCAAACUGCUUAGCUUGAGACCGGGAGAGGUGAGUGGAAUUCCCAGUGUAGCGGUGAAAUGCGUAGAUAUUGGGGGGAACACCAGUGGCGAAGGCGGCUCACUGGACCGGUACUGACGCUGAGGCACGAAGGCCAGGGGAGCAAACGGG